rnacentral:rRNA from 1 species
CCCUUAGAUGUCCUGGGCCGCACGCGCGCUACACUGAUGCAUGCAACGAGUUUCAUUUCUCCUGGGUCGAGAGGCCCGGGUAAUCUGUUGAACGUGCAUCGUGAUAGGGAUAGAUCAUUGCAAUUAUUGAUCUUGAACGAGGAAUUCCUAGUAAGCACAAGUCAUCAGCUUGUGUUGAUUACGUCCCUGCCCUUUGUACACACCGCCCGUCGCUCCUACCGAUUGAAUGUUCCGGUGAGCUCUUCGGACUGCGCGGUCUGCAGUUUCUGCGUUCCGUGCGGAAAGUUGCGCAAACCUUAACAUUUAGAGGAAGGAGAAGUCGUAACA